rnacentral:rRNA from 1 species
AACGAACGCUGGCGGCAUGCCUAACACAUGCAAGUCGAACGAGACCUUCGGGUCUAGUGGCGCACGGGUGCGUAACGCGUGGGAACCUGCCCUUAGGUUCGGAAUAACUCCCCGAAAGGGGUGCUAAUACCGGAUAAUGUCUUCGGACCAAAGAUUUAUCGCCUUUGGAUGGGCCCGCGUUGGAUUAGCUAGUUUGUAGGGUAAAAGCCUACCAAGGCGACGAUCCAUAGCUGGUCUGAGAGGAUGAUCAGCCACACUGGGACUGGGACACGGCCCAGACGCAAAGGGGGGGAGGAGGGGGGGAAUAUGGAAAAAGGGGAGAAAGCCGAAUCCAAAAAGGCCGGGGGAGGAAAGAAGGCCUGGGGGUGGAAAAACUCUUUUACCCGGGAGGAUAAGGACAGUACGGGGAGAAUAAGCCCCGAAUAACUCCGU